GGUUUAAUUACCCAAGUUUGAGGUAAACAUUGAAACUGACCCAAA
rnacentral:snRNA from 16 species